rnacentral:rRNA from 1 species
GAUGAACGCUAGCGGCAGGCCUAACACAUGCAAGUCGAGGGGUAGAACACUUCGGUGUUUGAGACCGGCGCACGGGUGCGUAACGCGUAUGCAGUCUACCUUAUACAGGGGAAUAGCCCAGAGAAAUUUGGAUUAAUGCUCCAUAGUAUUAUUGAAUGGCAUCAUUUAAUAAUUAAAGUUCCAACGGUAUAAGAUGAGCAUGCGUCCCAUUAGUUAGUUGGUAAGGUAACGGCUUACCAAGACGAUGAUGGGUAGGGGUCCUGAGAGGGAGAUCCCCCACACUGGUACUGAGAAACGGACCAGACUCCUACGGGAGGCAGCAGUGAGGAAUAUUGGUCAAUGGUCGCAAGACUGAACCAGCCAUGCCGCGUGCAGGAAGACGGUCCUAUGGAUUGUAAACUGCUUUUAUACAGGAAGAAACCCUCCCACGUGUGGGAGCUUGACGGUACUGUAGGAAUAAGGAUCGGCUAACUCCGUGCCAGCAGCCGCCUAAGAC